rnacentral:rRNA from 1 species
CGCCUGUUUUUACAAAAACAUCGCCUCUUGUAAAACAUAACAAAUAAGAGGUCCCGCCUGCCCUGUGACUAUUAGUUUAACGGCCGCGGUAUUUUGACCGUGCGAAGGUAGCGCAAUCACUUGUCUUUUAAAUGAAGACCUGUAUGAAUGGCAUAACGAGGGCUUAACUGUCUCCUCUUUCUAGUCAAUGAAAUUGAUCUUCCCGUGCAGAAGCGGGAAUAAUAACAUAAGACGAGAAGACCCUAUGAAGCUUUAGACACCAAGACAGAUCAUGCUAAACACCCCCUGAUAAGGGACUAAACCAAAUGAGCCCUGUCCUCAUGUCUUUGGUUGGGGCGACCGCGGGGAAACAAAAAACCCCCACGUGGAAUGGGAGUACCUCUCCUACAACUGUGAGUCCCAGCUCUAGUUAACAGAACUUCUGACCAAUAAGAUCCGGCAAUGCCGAUCAACGAACCGAGUUACUCUAGGGAUAACAGCGCAAUCCUCUUUUAGAGCCCCUAUCGACAAGAGGGUUUACGACCUCGAUGUUGGAUCAGGACAUCCUAAUGGUGCAGCCGCUAUUAAGGGUUCGUUUGUUCAACGAUUAAAGUCCUACGUGAUCUGAKUUCAGACCGG